rnacentral:rRNA from 1 species
AGUCAAUAGAUACCCGGGUAGUCCACGCCGUAAACGAUGAUAACUAGCUGUCGGGGGCCAUGGGCUUUCGGUGGCGCAGCUAAACGCAUUAAGUUAUCCGCCUGGGGAGUACGGCCGCAAGGUUAAAACUCAAAGAAAUUGACGGGGGCCUGCACAAGCGGUGGAGCAUGUGGUUUAAAUUCGAAGCAACGCGCAGAACCUUACCAGCGUUUGACAUCCUGAUCGCGGUUACCAGAGAUGGUUUCCUUCAGUUCGGCUGGAUCAGUGACAGGUGCUGCAUGGCUGUCGUCAGCUCGUGUCGUGAGAUGUUGGGUUUAAGUCCCGCAACGAGCGCAACCCUCGUCUUUAGUUGCCAUCAUUUAGUUGGGCACUCUAAAGAAACCGCCGGUGAUAAGCCGGAGGAAGGUGGGGAUGACGUCAAGUCCUCAUGGCCCUUACGCGCUGGGCUACACACGUGCUACAAUGGCGGUGACAACGGGCUGCUACCUCGCGAGGGGAAGCUAAUCCCAAAAAGCCGUCUCAGUUCGGAUUGUUCUCU